CAAGUCCAUUAGAAUUGAUUAUGUUAAAGUUGUUACUUAUCUUUUUCUUUGGAUCAGUAUAAUGUAUUUUAUUCCACUCCUUCCCCUUAUUAUGCAUUAUUGAAACAUUAAGUUGGGACAAUAAUUUGUUGUCACAAGCCAAUGAAUGAAUCACGUUGAUGCAAGCUUGAAACUGGAUCAGGACCUAGGGAGCUUAUUAGGAGCUGAGAGUGAGAGCAGCAGUCCCAUGAUCAUAGUAGUGAAGUUUCUCAACCUUUUCACAACCUUUGCAUUCAGUCUUCAGGUGUAACUGUUUACUUUGGACUCGCUUUUGCUGCAAGUGAGUUUUUCACUUCAAAUGGUUUUCCUUGUCCUCUCUUGAUUCCAUCUGAUCAUUUACUAAAAACCAUUAACAAGGAUUUCGAUCAGGACAUUGAAUUGAAUUUAGAAGGGACUGAAACAAUACCCCCAUCGAAGAAUAUAGUAUUUAACAUAGUCACAGGCAAGUCGAUAGUGUUGAACAAUCUCUUCCACUUUAGGCCAGCUAUAUAUAUCACAGCUAUUUCUUUCUUUUUUGUAAUAAAAAAACAAGAGAAUUAUACUUCUCAAUACACUGGUUCUCCAACACUCUGCUCCCCUUCUCUGCCUCUGUUUGUUUUUAAUAUAUUAUCAGCUAAUUAAAAACUAUUUUAA